GACAGAGGGGGCAAGCGUUGCUCGGAAUCACUGGGCGUAAAGGGCGCGUAGGCGGCCAUUCAAGUCGGGGGUGAAAGCCCAGGGCUCAACCCUGGAAUUGCCUUCGAUACUGUUUGGCUAGAGACCGGAAGAGGUAAGUGGAACUGCGAGUGUAGAGGUGAAAUUCGUAGAUAUUCGCAAGAACACCAGUGGCGAAGGCGGCUUACUGGUCCGGUUCUGACGCUGAGGCGCGAAAGCGUGGGGAGCAAACAGG
rnacentral:rRNA from 1 species